AAUGAAAUAUAGUGAAUGUUGAUUUACUGCACUUCAGUUUAGUUUUGGAAAGUUGUGCACUUUUAGAUUAGACAAACAAGAAUAUUUACAUAUAUUCAAAUGUAUAUACACAAUUUUGUUGUUUGUGAAGCUGGAACCAUUUCGUUGCUUGGGAGGUGGCAAUUUCUUCUUACCCAUUAAGAAAGAAGAGGAGAAGGAAGAAAUAUAUACUUGGAUAAUUUACAAAGGCUAACAGAAUUAAAAUCGAGCACUGUAGGUGUCUAUUCAACUAUCCCAUUAUAAAACUCUUAUAGAACUAGUAGCUUUUGUGGGGACUGGAACCUCAAAGCAUGAAAGAUGAAGACCUCUAUUUGCCCAACACUGAUGCUUAAGAGAAAAAAGUACCUAGUUAGGCAGUUGAUAUUGGAUAAAAAAUAUCACCAACAGAGAUUACUAUGUAAAUGCAAGCAUACCCAUAUAGGAAAAUAACCAGGAGCUAUGCGUGAGCUAUUACACACAGAAAUAUAGAGUCGAUCAAAUGUCGUUGUCUACUGUGAAAAUUAUAUGCAUAUAUAUGUAUUUCGAUGUGGGGAUAUAUCAACGACUGUUGCAUAUACUGAGAUUUUGUAAUUUGCAGUACUUAUUUUUAAGAAGAAUAUAUCUUCGCACGAUUUUGACUACUCAAUCAAUAGCAACAGCUAGAGUUGAAAAAUGAUUUUCUGUUCUGAAACACUAACAACUCUACAGAGAAAUGUAAUUGGCUGCAUUUGCUAUAUUUUGGAUACAUUGGGUUACUGCAAUUAUAACAGAUGAACUGAUGGAUCUCUCAUCAAAUAAUAUUGCAGGAGUUUACUUUAAAAUUUUUUUUCAAUUUUUCAAACUUCUAGUUUAGAGCUUGUUUCCAACAAAACUACUAAAGAUAUAAUCAAUUUCUUCAAUCACAGAGGCAAAUUUGCAGUGACUAUAAUCCUAAUAUUUUAAUCAACUUUGAUAUUUAAUUAGCAACAAAAGCUUAUUUUCAAAUUAAUGACGUAUCUUUAAAGGAAAUCAUCUGAAACGGUGAGAUUAGUAGCUUUACUAAAAUUCACUGUCAAAUCGGUGUGCCCGAGAUAUCCAAAUUACGUUAAACUAUUAAAUAAAAAAAUACAUGUAGUUUAUAUUAUUAUUUUGUAAUAUUAAAUUUGAUAUCUCUUAUGUUGUUUUCAGAUAUUAUAGCAACUGUAUAUUAAGUACAACUUUUAAAAUUGACCACCCAUCAAUACACUUCCAAAUGGGAGUCCUUUAAUAUAUUUCGCCUCUUUAUACUUAUUUUUAUUAAAUUUUUUAAAAUUUAUUUUUAUUUAAUU